ACUCCUGAAUGCGCUGAAAGAUUGAGAAAAUCCAGAUCAAGCCAAGCAAGGGAAUAUGUGCAUGGUCUUCCAGUGGGAUAGGAGCAAAAUAAUUCCCCGAGUUCUGCCCAGGAGAGAGGAUUGCUUGUUCCAGACCUAAUAUUGCAAUAUCCAGAGACCUUUUAACCCUAACGGACCCUAACAAAGAUAGAACGAACCAUGUCAGAGAAGGCUCAAAACCACCUUCAAAGUCAGAAUCUGAAGCCAUUUUACCUGCUAGUCUCUCCAGUUCUUCAUGUGGUGUUGACCCAAGACUGCUGGAUCGGCUUCCUGAUCGGCUGGGGUUAGAGAACCACCUACUGAACCGAC